GGGCACAUGGUGUAGUUGGUUAUCACGCUCGCUUAGCAUCGACGCAGUCUUCCAGAGUCAUCAUAUGCGAGAGGUGUUGGGUUCAAUUCCCAAUGUGUCCA